rnacentral:ncRNA from 1 species
AUUUUGCAUUAAAUUAAAAGGGAAUCUGGUUAAAUUCCAGAACUGUUCCCGCAACUGUAAGCUAUAAAGCUUGUAACUAUUCUUUUACCACUGGCAAUUUAUUGCUGGGAAGGUUUGUUACAAGACGCGAGUCAGGAGACCUGCCAUUAAUCAU